GCUUAAAAAUUGUGGUAGAGGUCUUUUCAGUGUGUUUGGAAGGUAAUAGAGGUCUUUGUUGGGUCGUAUGGGUCUGUGGGAGGGUCUAUCUUGGGUCUUGUUUAGUUAAUUGGCUUAUAAUUUGUGGUUGAGGUCUUUGUUGGGACGUAUGGGUCUGUGGGAGG